UACGGGGGGGGCAAGCGUUGUUCGGAAUUACUGGGCGUAAAGGGCUUGUAGGUGGCCAACUAAGUCAGACGUGAAAUCCCUCAGCUUAACUGGGGAACUGCGUCUGAUACUGGGUGGCUUGAGUUUGGGAGAGGGAUGCGGAAUUCCAGGUGUAGCGGUGAAAUGCGUAGAUAUCUGGAGGAACACCGGUGGCGAAGGCGGUAUCCUGGACCAACACUGACACUGAGGAGCGAAAGCCAGGGGAGCAAACGGG
rnacentral:rRNA from 1 species